rnacentral:rRNA from 1 species
UAGGGAAUUUUGCGCAAUGGGCGAAAGCCUGACGCAGCAACACCGCGUGAGCGACGAAGCCCUUUGGGGUGUAAAGCUCUGUCAGUGGGGACGAAUAAAUGACUGUACCCACAGAGGAAGCAUCGGCUAACUACGUGCCAGCAGCCGCGGUAAGACGUAGGAUGCAAGCGUUGUCCGGAUUUAUUGGGCGUAAAGAGUUCGUAGGCGGCAUGUCAAGUCUGGUGUUAAAGCCCGAGGCUCAACCUCGGAUCGGCACUGGAUACUGGCAAGCUUGAGUGCAGUAGAGGCAAGGGGAAUUCCCAGUGUAGCGGUGAAAUGCGUAGAUAUUGGGAGGAACACCGGUGGCGUAAGCGCCUUGCUGGGCUGUAACUGACGCUGAGGAACGAAAGCCAGGGGAGCGAAUG